UGGAUUCCAUGAUGCCUUUUACCUACAUUGUUUGAUUAUCUGUGAUAUCAAAACUCUUACUGAGAAUCCU